ensembl:miRNA
AUGAGUUUGGACUGUGCCGAGUCGAUCAGUUUCACACCUCGUUAAAGUCCAGGCUUCUAA